UACAUGGGGUGCAAACGUUGCUCGGAAUCAUUGGGCGUAAAGCGCGCGUAGGCGGUUACUUAAGUUGGAUGUGAAAGCCCUCGGCUUAACUGAGGAAGUGCAUCCAAAACUGGGUAACUAGAGUACGAAAGAGGGUCGCGGAAUUCCCGGUGUAGAGGUGAAAUUCGUAGAUAUCUGGAGGAACACCGGUGGCGAAGGCGGCAUCCUGGACCAACACUGACGCUGAGGAGCGAAAGCCAGGGGAGCAAACGGG
rnacentral:rRNA from 1 species